AUUGAACGCUGGCGGCAGGCCUAACACAUGCAAGUCGAACGAGUGGCGGACGGGUGAGUAAUGUCUAUGAAACUGCCCGAUGGAGGGGGAUAACUACUGGAAACGGUAGCUAAUACCGCAUACCAUCGGAUGUGCCCAGAUGGGAUGAGCUAGUGGGUGGGGUAACGGCUCACCUAGGCGACGAUCCCUAGCUGGUCUGAGAGGAUGACCAGCAACACUGGAACUGAGAAACGGUCCAGACUCCACCGGGAGGCAGAAGGGGGGAAUAUGGGACAAGGGGCGCAAGCCGGAUACAGCCAUGCCGCGUGUAUGAAGAGGGCCUUCGGGUUGUAAAGUACGUUCAGCGAGGAGGCGUUACUCGCAGAAGAAGCACCGGCUAACUCCGUGCCAGCAGCCGCGGUAAUAC
rnacentral:rRNA from 1 species